GUUUUCUAUUAGGAUACACAAGACAUUUGAUACCUUUCAAAACUGUUGUUUUGGUCUCUCCACAGGCACAAAUACAGUGGUUAUUCUGGAUUUGCCUACUUAGAUUUUUCUUCAGAGCAGAGAGGUUUACAAGAGCCCUAUUUUUAAUUUAAGAUCCUGAGAUAAUUACAUGACUUCAGUAGGCAAGAGACUCAUUGUACUGUGACUCAAUCCAGGCAGGCAUGCAAGUAAGAGACUAGACAAGGCAGAGCUAAUAAGAAAGCUCUUUUUUGUACACAAAAAGUCACAUUAAACUCGUAUUAAAAAGGCUGGAAAUUGAAGAACUUGGCAAUCACAAAACAGCAGAAUGGAGGUUGAUUCUACAAAUGUUAAUUAGCCCUUUUGCCCAUUUAUAUUAUUAUAUACCCCUUAAUUACCUGAUCAGAUCUUUUUCCAGAGGACUUCUGUCUUGAGGUUAGAUAUCACUGCCAGCUUUUUUUUAUCAUUAGCUUACUUUUUAACAGGGAACAUGAACUGAAUGUAGCAAUUGCUUUCCAUUAAUUUUUCUGUUUUAUGGUGAUCUGUUCUUACAGUACAAGACUGCAGGGAAUACCAGAGAGCACACCCCCCACAAAGAACCCUAUCCUGCAGCUUUCCACAAGUCUGGCAGAGAAGCAAUCUCAGUACGAACUGUUUUCUGGGAGAGGAGAGUUACUGCUUUCAGGACAAAUGCAUAUCACCAAAGCAGGAACUGAGAAAUAG
ensembl:lncRNA